rnacentral:rRNA from 1 species
GAUGAACGCUAGCUACAGGCUUAACACAUGCAAGUCGAGGGGCAGCGGGAUUGAAGCUUGCUUCAAUUGCCGGCGACCGGCGCACGGGUGAGUAACGCGUAUCCAACCUUCCGUACACUCAGGGAUAGCCUUUCGAAAGAAAGAUUAAUACCUGAUGGUAUGAUGAGAUUGCAUGAUAGCAUCAUUAAAGAUUUAUCGGUGUACGAUGGGGAUGCGUUCCAUUAGGUAGCAGGCGGGGUAACGGCCCACCUAGCCUACGAUGGAUAGGGGUUCUGAGAGGAAGGCCCCCCCACAUUGGAACUGAGACACGGUCCAAACUCCUACGGGAGGCAGCAGUGAGGAAUAUUGGUCAAUGGGCGAGAGCCUGAACCAGCCAAGUAGCGUGAAGGAUGACUGCCCUAUGGGUUGUAAACUUCUUUUAUAAAGGAAUAAAGUCGGGUAUGGAUACCCGUUUGCAUGUACUUUAUGAAUAAGGAUCGGCUAACUCCGUGCCAG